AUUCAGGUGUUGUAGAUGUGGUUGGUCAGAAGUCACGUAGUAGGUGUUCGUCUCGUUGGUGUGAGAGAGUUAACUGGGAAAGGCUGCGAUUUGGUAUAGGCUUAAAGCCUCUCUUGGGAAGUGGCAGAAGAAUGGAUCCUGUAGACUCACAAGUAUUUUCUGAAGCUUUUCCUUCCUGGACUUUUAAGGCAUACUCUCAGUACGUUUCCCCCAGAGCACAUAAGAAAUACGGUUUUCAUGCAUAGUUUGAAAGGACGAAAUCCUCAUGUGAUGCUUAGUGUCCAUGCUGCUCUCCUGGGGGUCAUGAGCAACGUGACUGAUGGCCUUGGCUGACUGCAACUGACACCAAGGGAUCUUUUCUGAAUGAGUGCAGCUGGCUCUACAUCUCCUCUGCUCCACCUGUAGCUGUUGUCCCUACCGGCUAUUGAGAACAAUCCCUGGCACAAGGUAGUCCUGGGACUGUGCCCUCACAGCUUGGGGAACUGUGACUUGGCACCAGCCAGCAAGGGGCCAGGGAGCAAGCAAGUGGUCAAGCAAAUGGCUGACCAGCUGGCCAGCGCCUGAGCUCAUUUCCUGAACAUAUUUUAAUUAGGACCGUAGCUGAGAACACUGAGAUCCCCUGCUCACUCUGCGCUUGAACUGAAGAGCACAGCUUUUCAGUCUGUGUCUUUGCACCCCAAAGUACCUGGUUACAAAUGAUUCAUGGCAACACUUCUUACAGAAGGCCAAGUCACCAAUUUGUCCAGUGAGAGCUCCAAGUAUUGCUGUUAAUAUACGGAAUGAGUUCAAUAAAAAAUAAAAGUGGUCUUGAGAACCAAGUUUUAAACUUUAUUAUUCUGUAUUUCAUAUACGUGACUUAAUUCAAACUGGAUUAGGGAUUUGAUUUCUUGGCCCAUUUGGACUCACCGAAAGUUUUACUCCAAGCCUUUGGACACUAGGUUUUAAGGCAAAGCUCAAGAAAACCAGUGGUAGUUGAUUCUUUCUGUCUGAAAUGAACUCUUUCUUUUUUAACUACUCAUAGUGCUGUAAUAAAUUAUUGCUACAGAUUAAA